GCCCAUGUGGCCUAGUGGAUAAGGCGUCGGUCUCCUAAACCGAAGAUCGCGGGUUCAAAUCCCGCCAUGGGUG
rnacentral:tRNA from 1 species